UACGAAGGGGGCUAGCGUUGCUCGGAAUCACUGGGCGUAAAGGGCGCGUAGGCGGGUUUUUAAGUCCGGGGUGAAAUCCUGGAGCUCAACUCCAGAACUGCCUUUGAUACUGAAGAUCUUGAGUCCGGGAGAGGUGAGUGGAACUGCGAGUGUAGAGGUGAAAUUCGUAGAUAUUCGCAAGAACACCAGUGGCGAAGGCGGCUCACUGGCCCGGUACUGACGCUGAGGCACGAAAGCGUGGGGAGCGAACAGG
rnacentral:rRNA from 1 species